rnacentral:rRNA from 1 species
UUGACCUCAAAUCAGGUAGGACUACCCGCUGAACUUAAGCAUAUCAAUAAGCGGAGGAAAAGAAACUAACAAGGAUUCCCUUAGUAACUGCGAGUGAAGAGGGAAAAGCUCAAAUUUAAAAUCUGGCAGCAUUUUGUUGUCCGAGUUGUAACCUAGAGAAGUGUAACCUGUGCUGGACCGUGUAUAAGUUUCCUGGAAUGGAGCAUCACAGAGGGUGAGAAUCCCGUCUUUGACAUGGACUACCAGUGCAUUGUGGUUGUGCUCUCAACGAGUCGAGUUGUUUGGGAAUGCAGCUCUAAAUGGGUGGUAAAUUCCAUCUAAAGCUAAAUAUUGGCGAGAGACCGAUAGCGAACAAGUACCGUGAGGGAAAGAUGAAAAGAACUUUGGAAAGAGAGUUAAACAGUAUGUGAAAUUGUUGAAAGGGAAACGUUUGAAGUCAGUCGCGUUAGCUGGGGAUCAGCCUGACAUUGUUGGGUGCACUUCCUGGUUGACGGGCCAACAUCAGUUUUGACUGCCAGAAAAAGGCCAAGGGAAUGUGGCACCUUUGGGUGUGUUAUAGCCUUUGGUCAUAUAUGGUGGUUGGGACUGAGGAAUGCAGUGUGCCGAAAGGCCGGGUUUCGACCACGUUCACACUGAGGAUGUGCCAUAAUG